UGGAUGCAGAUGACGAGACCCUAGAUUAUUGGUAAUUUCCAUCUGAGGCGUUUCUGUGAUGUCACAUUCUUGCUCACCUUGGAAAUCUGAUGCAGCCG
rfam:Triticum aestivum genome assembly, contig: Triticum_aestivum_CS42_TGACv1_scaffold_052473_1BS